rnacentral:rRNA from 1 species
UACGGAGGAUGCGAGCGUUAUCCGGAUUUAUUGGGUUUAAAGGGUGCGUAGGCGGGCUUUUAAGUCAGCGGUAAAAAUUCGGGGCUCAACCCCGUCCGGCCGUUGAAACUGGGGGUCUUGAGUGGGCGAGAGGAAGGCGGAAUGCGUGGUGUAGCGGUGAGAUGCAUAGAUAUCACGCAGAACCCCGAUUGCGAAGGCAGCCUUCCGGCGCCCUACUGACGCUGAGGCACGAAAGUGCGGGGAUCGAACAGG